rnacentral:rRNA from 1 species
UGAGCCUACGGGGGGCAGCAGGGAGGAAUAUUGGUCAAUGGGCUUACGCCUGAACCAGCCAAGGCGCGUGAGGGAAGACUGCCCUAUGGGUUGUAAACCUCUUUUGUCAGGGAGCAACGCCGGCUACGUGUAGCCGGACUGAGAGUACCUGAAGAAAAAGCAUCGGCUAACUCCGUGCCAGCAGCAGCGGUAAUACGGAGGAUGCGAGCGUUAUCUGGAUUUAUUGGGUUUAAAGGGAGCGUAGAUGGGUUGUUAAGUCAGUUGUGAAAGUUUGCGGC